AGGGGUGACCCCCAGGCUCCAUCUAAACCCUAAACAUUCACAAAAACAACCAGAUUGAAGGUCAAUUCUUGUCCCAAAUCAAAAUCUGAACAUAGAUUCGUGAUCCUCAUCACAAGGGGGUUACAAGUUUGACGCGUGACAAGCUAGGUGGAGGCUUGGAAAGGAAGCGGGUCAAACGAAGCGAAUAAGAAGUAAAAGCAUGUUUCGGAUGCAAGGUGAAUGUCGAGAGUCCCGGAUGAAGAUCGAGCAUCGAGC